rnacentral:rRNA from 1 species
CGAACGGGUGAGUAAUGCGUGACCAACCUGCCCCAUGCUCCAGAAUAGCUCUUGGAAACGGGUGGUAAUGCUGGAUGCUCCAACUUGACGCAUGUCUUGUUGGGAAAGUGUUUAGUGGCAUGGGAUGGGGUCGCGUCCUAUCAGCUUGUAGGCGGGGUAAUGGCCCACCUAGGCUUCGACGGGUAGCCGGCCUGAGAGGGCGGACGGCCACAUUGGGACUGAGAUACGGCCCAGACUCCUACGGGAGGGCAGCAGCC